CGUUGGUGACCAGCGGAGGGAUCAUUACAGAGUUGCAAAACUCCCAAAACCAUCGCGAACCCUACCUUCAACCGUUGCUUCGGCGGGCGGGCGCACCCGUGCGCCCCCCGGCCCCACCCCGGGGCGCCCGCCGGAGGUACCUAACUCUUGUUGAUCACAUGGCCUCUCUGAGUCUUCUGUACUGAAUAAGUCAAAACUUUCAACAACGGAUCUCUUGGUUCUGGCAUCGAUGAAGAACGCAGCGAAAUGCGAUAAGUAAUGUGAAUUGCAGAAUUCAGUGAAUCAUCGAAUCUUUGAACGCACAUUGCGCCCGCCAGUACUCUGGCGGGCAUGCCUGUUCGAGCGUCAUUUCAACCAUCAAGCCCCCGGGCCUGUGUUGGGGACCUGCGGCUGCCCGCAGGCCCCGAAAACCAGUGGCGGGCUCGCUGUCACCCCGAGCGUAGUAGCAACACCUCGCCCAGGGAGUGCCGCGGGCUCCGGCCGUAAAACCUCGCCCUCGCGGCGAGAACACACCAAAGGUUGACCUCGGAUCAGGUAGGAAGACCCGCUGAACUUAAGCAUAUCAAUAA
rnacentral:rRNA from 1 species